AGAAAUGUCCUAGGAAGUAAUUUGUAUGUCAGCCUCUCAUUUGGCCUGCCUAGCUGACUUUAAAUUAAUAUUGCUAGCUGCCUUGUGAAGGGCUUACGUGUGAUUGCGAUUCAACUUGCAGAAUAU
rnacentral:precursor_RNA from 15 species